rnacentral:lncRNA from 1 species
UCCAUUGCUUUCUCCACCUGCCGCCUUGGCCUUCGUCACAGGCAUCCUCCGAGUACAAAAUACCAUGGGGAAUUCCCCAGAAUAAACACAAAUACCUCAGGGCAUUCCCCUGCCAAAUAAUACAUUUGAUCAAAAAGCAAUAAAAUCAAGCCAUUCAACACAUGUUUCUAGCAUUCAACAUUUCCACAAUUCUUGAAAUUUGCCUACCCAACUUGACCUAUCAUGGCACUAUCACGAUCAACGAUGUCAAUGAAUCAAAGUAAAUUAACAUUAGCUUUUUAUCAAUUUUCAAUUUCUAACCCCCAAAUAACUGAUUCUGCUUCUCGAAUGAGAUAUUAUUUUAUCACACAAUUCAUGAUCGAGAGUACCCACAACAAAUCAAAACAAGCAAAUAUUCACCAAUCAAGAUCAAAUGACACACGGUAUUCAACCCAACACAACCAAUAUGAUAAACAAUGAAAUAAAAAUAAGGAAGGAGUAGAAUUGGACCUCAAAAUGUCGCUUUCAAACUCGAUGUAUUAUUUGAUUAAAUCCGGUAGAAUCCGCAUCCAAAACCUUGAUUCGAAACUUCAAAUCGAACCAACUCCAACUUGAUCAAAACCCAAAAAGAAGACCGAACAACCCCGAGACAGUCCCCGCGAAUACCCGAGAAAGGAAAUGAGACUGGUCUUAGGAAUUUUGCCUGUUCAACAAUAGUUUGCUGAAACAGAACAAUAGACAACCGAGAAAAAUGUUCUUUCCGGCAAAGAUUCGUCAGAAAAGGGUGAUUAACGGACUUAUCUGACGCUGAUCUUGGGGUAUUAGUGGAUUAGAAGUUCAGAUGUCAACCAAUAGCCUUUUUUUCUGGUAAUUUCGAUCAGAUUUGGUAGGUUCCGACACAUUUCGGGCAAAACCGUCGGCGAAACAGUAACCAGAACACUGAGUUGUCUUUUCUCCCUUAACUCCAUCUACCCCUUUUCUCUCUUGGUUCCCUCUCUCCUCGAUUCCGCACGUGAAUUGUUCAGAAGACGAUUGUGUCUCUGUGUGUAUCGUGGAAUUUUCCCAGAUGAAGAAAAGAACCAAAAAUGGAGUGUUCAAAAAAUGGCAAGAGGUCUUUCUCUGUCUUGAUGAUCCCCACCUUUUCUGGUCUGUAUUGUUUGUAUAUAUGAUAUCCUGUAAAGGAACAAUUCCUAAAUGGGAGUAUAUGGGUCCCUCCUUUCUGAAUGUAGCGUGUAGUGUAUAUAUAUAUGGUUAAUACCUUUGUGAAAUUGGGAAAAGAUAAAAGAAAGGGAAUCUUUUGGUGGUCCCACUAGAUGACAAAUUUUUUGUGAUUUGGUUCAAUGAAAUGAAAAGGAACAUGACGGGUUGGGGACGUGGUGUAUGG